GUGCUUGCUUCAGCAGCACAUAUGCUAAGAUUGGAACAACACAGAGAAGAUUAGCAAGGCCCCUGUGCAAGGAUGAUAUGCAAAUUCAUGAAGCAUUCCAUAUUUUA
ensembl:snRNA U6 U6 spliceosomal RNA